rnacentral:piRNA from 1 species
UUGAAGAGGUGCAGAUGUAAAAAACU